UACGAAGGGGGGCUAGCGUUGCUCGGAAUCACUGGGGCGUAAAAGGGUGCGUAGGCGGGGUCUUUUUAAGUCAGGGGGUGAAAUCCUGGAGCUCAACUCCAGAACUGCCUUUGAUACUGAGGAUCUUGAGUUCGGGAGAGGUGAGUGGAACUGCGAGUGUAGAGGUGAAAUUCGUAGAUAUUCGCAAGAACACCAGUGGCGAAAGGCGGCUCACUGGCCCGAUACUGACGCUGAGGCACGAAAAGCGUGGGGGAGCAAACAGGG
rnacentral:rRNA from 1 species